UCUAAAAAUUUAAAAAUCGCUCGUAUAUUCUCAGUAAUAUGGUCUGAGAGUUUCUAUAGGUUCCCAUUGUAAGAGCCUACUACGAGAUGAGCUGUUACUUUU
rnacentral:ncRNA from 1 species